rnacentral:tRNA from 1 species
GUUCAUGGCUCAGUGGUUAAUGUCACAGUCCUCCACAGAUCUUCAAGUCGCAGGUUCAAGUCCUGCUGGAAGCA